AGGGCAGCUACCCAGCGAUGGGAUGCGAAUCUCGAAAGCCUGUCUCAGUUCGGAUUGGAGGCUGAAACCCGCCUCCAUGAAGUUGGAUUCGCUAGUAAUCGCGCAUCAGCCAUGGCGCGGUGAAUACGUUCCCGGGCCUUGUACACACCGCCCGUCAAGCCAUGGAAGCUGGGGGGUGCCUGAAGUUCGUGACCGGAAGGAGCGACCUAGGGCAAAACCGGUGACUGGGGCUAAGUCGUAACAAGGUACC
rnacentral:rRNA from 1 species